rnacentral:rRNA from 1 species
GCGAGUUACGAUCUGAUGCAAGGUUAAGCAGAAAAUGUGGAGCCGUAGCGAAAGCGAGUCUGAAUAGGGCGAAUGAGUAUUUGGUCGUAGACCCGAAACCAGGUGAUCUACCCUUGGUCAGGUUGAAGUUCAGGUAACACUGAAUGGAGGACCGAACCGACUUACGUUGAAAAGUGAGCGGAUGAACUGAGGGUAGCGGAGAAAUUCCAAUCGAACUUGGAGAUAGCUGGUUCUCUCCGAAAUAGCUUUAGGGCUAGCCUCAAGUGAUGAUUAUUGGAGGUAGAGCACUGUUUGGACGAGGGGCCCCUCUCGGGUUACCGAAUUCAGACAAACUCCGAAUGCCAAAUAAUUUAACUUGGGAGUCAGAAUGUGGGUGAUAAGGUCCAUAUUCGAAAGGGAAACAGCCCAGACCACCAGCUAAGGUCCCAAAAUAUAUGUUAAGUGGAAAAGGAUGUGGCGUUGCCCAGACAACUAGGAUGUUGGCUUAGAAGCAGCCAUCAUUUAAAGAGUGCGUAAUAGCUCACUAGUCGAGUGACACUGCGCCGAAAAUGUACCGGGGCUAAACAUAUUACCGAAGCUGUGGAUUGUCCUUUGGACAAUGGUAGGAGAGCGUUCUAAGGGCGUUGAAGCAUGAUCGCAAGGACAUGUGGAGCGCUUAGAAGUGAGAAUGCCGGUGUGAGUAGCGAAAGACGGGUGAGAAUCCCGUCCACCGAUUGACUAAGGUUUCCAGAGGAAGGCUCGUCCGCUCUGGGUUAGUCGGGUCCUAAGCUGAGGCCGACAGGCGUAGGCGAUGGAUAACAGGUUGA